AGGCAGGAGCCCGGUCUCUGGUGCACCUGGCGGUAACCCUGACCUGCCCACAGCGGCUAGGAUAGGGACAAGGGCACUAGCUCAUGCACAGGCCAUUCAAGGGAGGCAGGCGUUUUCUUAAAGCACCUUCCUCCCCGGACGUUUUAGGAACAGAGACGCUGUCACUUCAUGACAAGAGAAUACAAGCAUACGGGACAGAAAGUGAGAACGGGCUCUGGCAGCGGGAGAGGCACUUUCUGGCAGACACAGCCGUCAAGCAGUGCGAUGCUCCCUGCUCUCUCCAGCGGCUUUGAGAAGAGAGCCACUCCUCUGUGUGCAGAGGGGCUGAUGUCAGCUCUGCCUCGGGGCAACCAGGAUAGCUAGGUCUCUGGUUCCCCGUAAAACAGUCUGUGGUUACUCAUCCGGCUGCAGCUAAGAGUCUAGAUGGUAAGAAGUGGUCAUUUCGUGUGUCACCUGGUUCACUGGAGGGUGACCUCGUGGAGAAAAGAGAAGCCAGAUAGGGGAGAGGAAGCAGCUGGAAUCUGAGAGAAGCUGGCAUGAUCCCUGAGUGAUGUCUGCCAUCGGCGAGAAGGGGACUGUAGAGGGGAGCAGGGAGAAAGCAAACGAGGCAAGCAGGAGGGUCAAAGAAAACACUGCUCCAAAGAAGUAGCAAAGAAAGGAAGAGAAAGGUGAGUACAAAUGGAGGCAGAAUGUGAAAUAAGGGCAGACAGGCAUAAUAAACAAGCAGGACCAGAGGUUCUAUAAUAGGCGUCUGCUGGGCUGGGUCACAGUGGGGAGCAUGGGUGCAGAACCCUGGAAUAUAGGUGGAUAGAGAGAGGAGAAAGGAAAAGAACAAAUUUAAACCCAUAGUGCCAGAAUAUGGCCUUUAGUAAAAUUGGGAUCUAGUUAGGUCACAGAGCAAACAAGGUAUUUAUGAACCAAAGGCAAGAACAUGGAGGUGCCUGGCAUCAAUACUAUGCCUUUCCCUAAGCUAGUACUUGCCUGCUCACCAAAUGAAUGAACUGACAAUGACUGGUGGACACCACAGGCAAUACC